rnacentral:rRNA from 1 species
CCUACGGGAGGCAGCAGUGGGGAAUAUUGCGCAAUGGGCGAAAGCCUGACGCAGCGACGCCGCGUGAGGGAUGAAGGUCUUCGGAUCGUAAACCUCUGUCAGCAGGGAAGAACGGUCACUGUGCUAAUCAGCAGUGAAUUGACGGUACCUGCAAAGGAAGCACCGGCUAACUCCGUGCCAGCCGCCGCGGUAAUACGGGGGGUGCGAGCGUUAAUCGGAAUUACUGGGAGUAAAGCGGUCGUAGGCGGUAUGUCAAGUCAAGUGUGAAAUCCCCGCGCUCAACGUGGGAACUGCCUUUGAAACUGGCAAACUGGAGUGUGUGAGAGGAUAGUGGAAUUCCAGGUGUAGGAGUGAAAUCCGUAGAUAUCUGGAGGAACAUCAGUGGCGAAGGCGACUAUCUGGCACAUAACUGACGCUGAGGAGCGAAAGCGUGGGUAGCAAACAGGAUUAGAUACCCUAGUAGUC